AAGGACCGUUCAAAGACAGUGGCAUACACCAUUCUUUAGACAUCUGGCAUGGAUCAAAGAACUUGAGCAAAAGACUUGUAGCGGCAGGGCAGCAAAAGGGAUGCUGUGACUUACUGACAUGGAGCAAAGAUGUCUGCAACCAUUUCUGGCAUUGUUGCAAAGCUGCAAGCUGUUAUGAAGAGUUCAUGGACCUGUGGAUGGGACUCCUGCACCACGUCACAGGAGAACAUGAGUGGGCCCUUGGUGCCUGCCACCACGGCCCUUUGGAGGACAGCAGAGAGAAAGACUGGAUACAACAGGGCAGUUUGGCACACCAG